AAUUAGGAUUUUACAAUGGUGAAUUCCUAAUUAGGGAUUUACUAUGUUGAAACCCUAAUUAGGGAUUUACAAUGUUGAAACCUAAUUAGGGAUUUAUUAUGUUGAAUCCCUAAUGGGUGGAUAAGAUUCAUCAUUUGGAUUUACUAUGUAAAAGUACUGUAGGACUUAAUGAUGGUUUGUAUUCUUGUUUUUCUUGUUUUACUAGUUCGUUUGGAUUUAUACAUGGGUUUGUCAUCAAAUCUAUUUUCCAUAGAAUUUCGCAUAUGACUCUGCACUCUAUUUUUGUGUUUUUCACUUCUCAUUGAAUGAGAAGUGAUCUCUCUUUCUUUGUCAAGGGUCUUAAAACAUGCUCUCCAGAAAACACAUUGUUGCUGCAUUUGAUUGCAUUUGCAAGUAUUUGAUUUCAGGACUGUUGGAGAAGUGCUCCUGCAUUGUGUUGUAAUAUCUCAUCUUCUCCCCAAUUUUAGUAAUGUAUGGUGCCUCAUUUUCUAUUUUUAUUAAUUCAGUUGCCCCUUUACAUUGCUCUGAUGGUGCUGAGUCAAGGAAUUCGGUUAUCAGGAAUGUGAAAUGUCUUAAUGCACCCAUUUGGUACUGGUGGGUCCAUAGUUUGAUUAUGGUGACUGUUGUGCGGGUGGACCCGUUCCUGAGCAUAGUUCUGAAACUCAACUCAGAAACUUGGAUGAGUCAAACUCAACUUGGAGAGAUUUCGAGCAGUCUUAUAGAAACGCAGUUCUGGAUCUAACUUGAUCCUGACUUGAGCACAUGUAGUGGGUUUCUAUUUUGAUUAUAUGUUAUUUGCCAUUGAAGUUUCUAUUUUUAUUUUUUACAUUAAAAAAAAUUGUCAGGCUGUCCGUAAGUCUGCCCUAAUUACUGGUGGAGUGAAGAAGCCCCAUCGAUACCGCCCUAGAACUGUUGCUCUUCGGUAUGUACUGAAUUUUUAUUAUUAAGCUUGCUUUGAAAUGUGGUAUUACAUUUUUUUUUCAUUAAUAACAAUUGUACAAAACUCUAGUUUGUAGCGGUUCAUCAAUUUUUGUCAGCAUUCCCUAGUCUAUUUUUUGUUUAAGAGUACAUGUUGCUAAGUGAGAAAGAUUGUGCACUUCUUUCCCUCAAUACAUCGAUUAGUUGAACUAUGGUAAAUAUAGAACCCAUUUCCAUGUACCAAUUUUUAGUUGAAUUCAUUGCAUACUUGUACUGGCCAGGUGGAUAUACGAGGGUGUGAAACUACAUUAGCCCAUUACCAUUAAAUAAGCCAUUAAUCUAUUGAUAAAAUGUUUCUGACUUUUUUUUUUUUCAUGUCCUAGAUCCCAUAUCUGUUGGAGCUCAGCAUCAAUGCUGUGGAACUGUUGCUAGUUUUUGAGUUUAAUGAGUUUGAAUUUCAAAGACAUCCAAAUUCCAGAGAUCACAUGGUAAGAGAAUCUUGUUACUCCACCUUGAUGCAUUUGAAGGUUUAUAUUUAUAUUUAAAGGUCAAUGUUUGCUGAUGUAGAGAUUAUCUGCUAUUCUUUUGUAUCAGUCUCUUAACAAUUUUUCUCUUUAUAAUUUCUCUUUUCAUUUGUCUUGAUGUAAUAUCACUAUAAGGCUAUGUUUAGAAACCACAGAUUACAUGCCAACAAAUAGAAAAGGAAAAGGGUUUUCCUUUGAUGUGUCAAUUUGUGCUAUUUGGAUAGCAAACAAAAAGGUGGAUUCCACCUAGUAAUCAUCACACUUUUCAUAAAUGAAUUCCUGGCAUGAUAAACUAUGUGAGCAUUAUGACUUGUGAGAGGGAUAUGAGAUUUCCACCAGCUACCCAAACAGGAAGUCUAUUGAUUGUUCUAUGCUUUUGCUGGUUCUAGGAUGUGCUAAAAUUUAUGUGUCCUUCUCUUUACCAGUUUUUCCUUAAAACAAUCUAAAGGGCUUCUUGCUUGUUUGAGAAAUUUUUUGUUGUUUCUGAUUUUUCUGGAACACUGUAAUCUCCAAGAUCAAUACAUGGGGUUAUUCUACCAUAAAUUUCUUUGCUCCCCUGAGCUGCUAUGUUAGUUCUGGAGGAGGACUUGUAGUUGCUUCCCUAGAGUUUAAACAAAUGGUGAAAGCCUUGCAUAAUGAUGGAAUUGAGGUCAUUUUGGAUGUGGUCUAUAACCAUACUAAUGAAGUUGAUGAUAAUCAUCCUUAUACCACUUCUUUUCGUGGCGUAGACAAUAAGGUUUAUUACAUGCUCGAUGUUGAUAACAAUUCUCAAUUGCUUAAUUUCUCAGGAUGUGUUCCACUAUGGGGUGUUCUUCGCGUACAUGAGAUUGAGGGAGCAAGAAAUUAGAAAUCUGAUGUGGAUAUCGUAAUGUGUGGCACAGAACCAGAAAUCUAGAGUUCAUGACAGUGUUGUAUUCAGAUUCAUACUAGGAGAGAUGGUCUUUUAAUUUGAUUUUGGAGUUGAAAAGAAUUUAAAGCAGAGACAUUGAGAAGACUUGCUCAGAAUAGAGAGGCAGCUCGGAAAAACAGGCUGAGGAAAAAGGUCAAUCAAGCAAAUCAAAAAAGAAAAAAAUUAGUCAUUUUUCCAACUUCAAUUCUCCUUAAUCUACUUAUGAAAAAUCAAAACAUGAAAUUGAGUGGUCUAAAUUCUCUUUAUUAUUAUUCUCAUCUUCAACAGGCUUAUGUUCUGCAGCUAGAGUAUAGUAGGAUUAAGCUAACUGAGAUAAAACAAGAGCUUCAAAGGGCUCAAUCUUUGGUGAGGCUCUUUAUUCAUAUUACUCAGUACAGUGCUUGGUCUGAUUCUUGGGGUUGGAAAUGUGAUUAUGUAGGCACAAUUUCUAAAAACUUUUUGCAAUAGCUCUCCAUCCCAUUGAAUGUUGAGGAGAGUUUGAGCAGAAUUUUGUUGAAUGCAAAUUCAAGAACUAAUAACUUUUUGCAACAAAUGUUUAAAAAUUUUCCUCUAGUACCACCUACAUCAACACAUUCUAACAAAAAGUAGAUCUCCUUUAGCAGGUCCUACAUCAACACAUUCCAACAAAAGACAACUUACACAGCUUAUUCCAAUUGAAAAUACAUUUCCUUUAUAGCGAUGGGCAUGAAUAUAACA